UCCGAAUUGGUGUAACGGUUAACAUUUGGCGUUUUCAUCCUCUUCAUGAAGAAAGAGAAUACCGCCAGGCUCGGGGUUCGAUUCCCCGAUUCGGAG